GCGACCCCACACGGGCGCCCGAGGCAUCGGGCUGAGAUCGCGCUACGCCUGCGCGAGCACCGUUCGAACCUGUCUGGUUAGCACCAGCGAAGGAAGUAAGGAGAAGGUCGUG
rnacentral:ncRNA from 2 species